rfam:Stegodyphus mimosarum contig44705, whole genome shotgun sequence.
GCCUUCGUGGUGUAGUAGUCAGCACAGUCGACGCGUAACCGAGUGGUCAGUGGUUCGAUUCCCGGCGAAGGCG